rnacentral:rRNA from 1 species
UACGUAGGGUGCGAGCGUUAAUCGGAAUUACUGGGCGUAAAGCGUGCGCAGGCGGUUUUUUAAGCUAGAUGUGAAAUCCCCGGGCUCAACCUGGGAACUGCAUUUGGAACUGAAAGACUAGAGUGUAGCAGAGGGGGGUAGAAUUCCACGUGUAGCAGUGAAAUGCGUAGAGAUGUGGAGGAAUACCGAUGGCGAAGGCAGCCCCCUGGGCUAUAACUGACGCUCAUGCACGAAAGCGUGGGGAGCAAACAGG